UCAAAUUCUUGGCUGCAAUGUUCUCAUUUUCUCUUUUUCAGGACUAUGUCCAGAAUGUUCCCACAAACUAAACUUCCAUCACCGGAGGAAAGAAGUCAAAACAUGCAAGAAAAAAGGCACAGCUGCACAGAACUCUAAAGAGCCAAAAAAUAAGAAGAGAAAAUUAUCUCAUUCAGCAAAAAAGAAGUCCAAAAAAAAGACCCAUAAAGAUCAUGUAUCUUCAGAUGAUUCAGAUAGUUCUGA